AUGGGCUCAAGGACAGCUUGCCUGACUGCAGCCAUAAGGAUGAAGCCUCUUCAGGUAGAGAAGGACUCCAGGUGGGGCCUGUGCAGAGGGUUCUUACGGGGGCAGUAGGAUUGGGGCUCUAAAAUCAGUAAAUGGAAAAGGA
rnacentral:antisense_RNA from 1 species